rnacentral:tRNA from 1 species
ACCUGGGUGGCUUAGUUGGUUAAGCAUCUGACUUCGGCUCAGGUCCUGAACUUGUGGUGCGCUGUCCGUGGGUUCGAGCCCCACGUCGGGCU